CUGGAUUGAAAGUGGAGCAGCCAGAACUCAAACCAGUGCCCACAUGUGAUGCCAGCACUACAGACAGUGGCUUAACCUGCUACGCCACAGCACCGGCCCUUUCCCACUUUUUAAAUUAUUUAUAUAAAGGAUUGGUGGUUGCCAGUCCACAACCCUCAACACAGCUGACUCGCAUCCUAUGUGAUCUGAGUAACAACUGCACUGCAUUCUGCAGCUCCAGGACUAUAGCUACCCUGUCUAACGUACUUGGGCCUCAUUCCUGUGUAAUCAUAACCUCUACUCUACCACCAAUGGCUCUACUCCCAACCUGUGUGUACUGAUGGUCCUCUUCCCCACUUAAUGCUGUAUAAUUGUUCAAACCUGGUAAAUGCCACUCUUAGGAUCAUUGGUUACUAUCCUCACUCUGUCUUGUAUGACCUUGUCUAAACAUGAUCAGAGUCGGCAAACUUGGAAGGCUUCCAUAGCCUUGGCA